GCAAAAUCUGAAAGAGACAAAUAAAAAUUCUAUAAAUGAAAAUCCAUGCAAUAUCAUUCCUAAAGAAUGGAGGACAAAGAACAACAUAAUGACUACUUCAAAUAACUGAUAACAAUUUUUUAAGAAGCUGGUUCAAGGACCUUCCUGAAGCCUGUGCUUUUAAGGUUGAAAAAAAAGAAAGAUUAAUACAUACCAUAUUUACUGUCAAACACUGUGAAAACACAUGUACAUCACUGCUAGUAACAGAGCCUGAUUAAUAUAGCCAAAGCUUAAGGGUUGGGAGAUGUAAGAAAUAAGCCAGUUCAGUCUCACCAUUGUUCUAAAGUUACUUAGAUCCUGUAUGGUAAAUGAACUCAGAUACUUUAUUGAAAAUGAGGACGCAAUCUUAAUUUUUUCCCAUUGUCAAAAAAUGUCCUUAACUCUCGAAAGUUUCACCUGCAAACUGCAUCCUCUGAAAACAGGAAUUAGCAAUUCAAAAUGUGCACAAAUGACAUGCUGGGUGAGAUGAUGUAGACAGCUUUCAAAGACCAAGAGUACAAGUUGGCAAGAAUCAAAUCUACAUCUGAAACAGAUGUCCAGGCUUGAUCUACACUUAACCAACUAGAUUUCUUCAUAGACUUUUACUAUGCUGUUCAGAAAUACAAAGCUCAUCAGUUGGACUGACCAACCAUACAAAAAUAAAUACUACUUUAUAACAACAGAUUUAUAUAUGUUUACAUGAAUAUUAUUUGCUCCUUCAAGAUCUCACAAGUUGCGUAAGCAUCCUAGGCCACAGGAAAACUGCUUCUAUGGAGACAGAACAUUGCACAUUGCAAUUCUCAUGCAUUACUUUGUCUAUUGUUAUCCUUUGAAUGAUCCAAGACAAGCAACUGAGAUGCACUGCAGCUUCUGACUUCAUGAGGAGGAAUGUAUUUCUCACAAAUUAUGGCUGUUACUACAGAACUGAGAUUCCCACUACAGCAAAUUCUCUUCAGCACCUCCAGUGAAGGAAGGAUCCACAUAUUAGGAUUGACUCCAGGGAACAACAUUUCUCGCAUUGCUACUACCUGAGUGGCCAUCAGCAGUAACCAGGUCAGCCCUGAGGCUGCCUAGUUCCACAGGGAAGCCUUCAAGCAAACACAACCAGUCAUGACUGAGGUCAAAAAAGUUACUAAGUAAAGCUUCAAAUGUACUGAGCACAAAUAUUUAACAGUGUUCAUCUGGAAGUUAAACUAUCUCUAAUGAUAAUUCAUUUUCUCUUAAUUCCUGUCUGUUUGUGAAGUACUGGGAAUGGCUCUUGAUUUCAAAUGCUGAAAGAAAGCAAAGGCACAGCAUGGGAAACAGCACGGCUGUCUUCGAUAUAGAAUUUCUUUCUGCAAUGAUUUGAAUUUAAUCUCAUAUUAUAACCAAUAUCAUGCCAGUAACUCAGUAACACAUUCCACCCCAGACAAUUCACACAACUGACAGCUCACACAAGCUUUGUGCCUGCUGGGUAAAAACUGGCAACCACUUAACACAGCAUGCCAAUUCCAUGCAUGGUUUCAAAUGAGAGUCUAGGUACUUGGUUUCUUUUAAAUAUUGUUAAAAUGUUGACAGUUGAAUAUUUCAGCCACUGUCAGUCAUGAAGCCCAAUACGUCUUUUUCACAGUGACUACUGUCAUAGAAUCACAGAAUCGUUUGAGUUGGAAGGGACCCUAAAAGGUCAUCUAGUCCAUCUCCCCAGUCAAGUAGGGUCUCGCCUGCUUUGCACAACUCCAUGGGGUUUUUUUUAGGACUGGAGUUCAGAAAGACCUCACCACCACUCAUUCAGAGACAGUUCAAAGUUAACUUCAAAAUUAAAAGAAAUAUGUAUUUUUAAAUACACUUUAUCACUUCUUCACUGAAAUCCCUGCAGUGUCUGGAUCUUGCUUUGUGGUUACAAAAUUUGAUUUCAUUUCAAAGUGAGACAGUAUUAUUUAAUGAGGAAAACAGAUGACAAUGCAGGAAUGUUGAUACAUUUCCAAAAUACAGAAAGAUGUUUCUGAUGGGCUCUGAUACGUUUUAAUGCAAACACAGCAUAUUUCACAAGGAAGAAUUUACUGUGUGUACUAAACAAAAAGCAUUUCAUGUUGAAUUGUAGGAAAGAUACAAGCAUGUUCUGCAAGGAAGAGACAGGCCUUGAAAGCUGCUCAGUAGCUACUACAAAGACAUUCGAAAGGGAUUAGACAGAGAAGAUAAUGUCAUCGAUACCUAUUUGAUGCAAUGACCUGGAAGUAGGCUUGAAGCCAAAAAAAAAAAAAAAAGCCUUACUGGAAGCUGGGGAAAUAUAUCAGGAGUUAAUUGGAUAUAUGCUUAAUACUUAAUCUCUUUCCUUGAGUAUUUGCAGUCAAUCGUAGCUGAGAACAAUGUAUUGGAACAGAAGUCCACACAGUGGAUAACAGUCUGAUCCAUCAAUCGUAGCCAAUAAGGCAAAAGCAUGGCUAAAACAAGCACCUGCGCAGUUAGAAAACGUUACUGCAUCUAUUCAUUUUGUGAACGUUUCCCAUCUAAAAUACAACAUCUGAGUCUAUUCCUUCCUUAAAAAAUACUUUGACCUUUAGUAGAGUUAGAACUAUUUUCUGUAAACUUCAAGAACACAUACAAUAAGAUAAAGCUAAGCCAGAUCCGGCUGUUCAACUUGGCACACUUUGCUGAGACAGUAAAUCCUAUGUAAAGCAGAAAAUUCCAUCAGAUCAGACAAUAUUUUAACAUCCUUUCUUCAUACUUUUCUGGUAACCCCUACUUUUACUAAAGAGAAAAUGAUUUCUGAUCAGCAGGCUCUCAAGAGAGGUGUUCCAUCCACUCAUGUUUAGCAACCGGGUGAAGGAGGAUUUUCUAUAGUCACGGCACAGUGAUUUUGUCCAAAGAAGGAAAGAAAUUUGAACUGAAUUUGAAUUUCAAUUAUCAAGAAUUCUACCAAAAUUGGGCUUACUUACUAAUUGCUCAAAGGAUGACUGACUCUGUUCUGCAAUUUGAAUUUCCACCUUUUCUCUUGAACAUAAGAUGUUAAUGAGAUGGUGGCUUCCUGGGCAAUAAUGCUGAGAGAAGACACCUCAACACUAGUCGAGGUAGUUAACACAUGAAAACGGUUCUGGCAGAUCUUCUCCUAAACUGCUGAUAGCUAGGACUGAGGGGUAUGCCUGGAGCAGAAAGUUUUCAUGUAAGAACAUAAUCUAUUAGCUAAACAGAGACUUUCACUGAUAAUGCUUCUCUACCCUUAUACUCCAAAUCUGAUGUGUUCAGAAUUUUCCUACUUUUCAUGUUUCUGUUCUGUUUUUCCUCCAGGUGCUCUCAGCAAUGCUGAAUAAACUCAGUUUCUAAGGGCCUGAGUGUGACAGCUUCUGAGAGAAGUAGAAAGCAAGACCUAUUUCCUCCCACUCAGAACAGAUCUGCUGCAGAUGGAACAGCAUCUUAAGAGACUUUCUGUCUCCCGGGGAGCUUAAGAAUCUAGCAUUCAAUUCCAUCACAGGACCAAUUUACUUUUUUCAACAAAGCUUCAGAUUUGAUCCAUUCCUUGCAGCCAUUUUGUAAGCACAGGGUCUCUUGCCAAGCCUACCUAAGCAGCAGCUCCUGUCAGCAUCAGGUAAGAUAAUAAUCACAGUCAUACAAUGGUGUGGGUUAGAAGAGACCUUAUAGAUCAUCUAAUUACAACUAGCUGUAAUGUAGCUUCCUCUUCAGCUCUGCAAAAGCAACAUUUCAGAAACACUUUUAUGCAACUUCUAUGUUUUUCCAGCAGUGACUUGUUAAGAACCUCAAUCUUCAGUAAAACACCAAAUUACAGUGGAAAGGACCUAAUCCCUCGGAGGAGGGAGCUGUUUUGUGUGACCAAGAUAGCUGCAGCAUUAAGAUCACAUCAUCUGCUUGUAUUUGCCAAGCCUUAAUUCAAAAACAAUUAGUUUCAAAAUUACCAGAUAUUUUGACUACACUGUACUUACAUUAAGUUCGUAAAUGUAUUGCCAGAUUAUGUGUUUACUAAAAAUUUAGACUUCAAGUUUGUAUCAGAUGCCCCUACGCAUAAAAAGUAAUUGACAGAAAAGAUGUCAAAACCAAUUUUGAUCCUAGAGCAUUUUCCCGUACAAUCUAUAUGAAGCACUUUUCCUCUUAGCAUACUUCUAAAGGAUCUCAUCAUACUACAGCUGAUAACAGCAACAUUCAUUUUUUUGUCAAAGAGCCAACAUACAGAACAGGUAUUCUGCUUCUGCUAACCAUGCCACAGCUAUAAUCACGAACAAAUACACCACUAGGACCAGCCAAAGGAUAGCACUACUGGGGACAGGAAUCGGUGGGGCAGAAAAGCAUCUGGGUAAAAUCCUACGGCAGCCAGUGCUCACCGUGACAUUUACACUUAAUCUGAGUCAUUCAUAUCGUAAUCCGUUUCUUCAUCUUCACUCUGAGUGGCAUGCAGCAUGCAGCAAGUAUAGAGAAAGGAAAGGAAAAGAAAAGAUUGCAAGUGAGUCAGAGCUGCAACAAAGUACAGUCCACUUACACUUGAAGCAUUGGAGAAUGGCACUAAUUUACUUUUAUUUGGGACCCCACUCUUCGUAAGAAAGCACGACAGCAGACAAUUUCAAGCAGGAACACUAUGGAUUUAAUGAAAAUGUCCCUUCCCAAAUGUCCUAAAGUCAGCAGCGCCAUGCAACGUAGUAACAGGGACCUUAAGUAUACAGAACAUUUAAACGACCUGCAGUUGGUACCUUAGCUCUAUGUACUAUUCCCCACAGAUGGGGAAGGAUAGCUCUUGAAAAUCAAAUUUUGGAUGUAGAUGUUAUGAAUGGGCUUUGGUCAUUACAUGUAAAUAAAGAGAAAGAGCAAAGUACUUGUGGGAACACAGGCUAUCUUUCAGUAAUGCUACAGCCACCUGCUAAGACCACUGAAACAAUUUAAGUCAAUGUUCCAAAAGGGCUUAAAUCCCCUCUCUCAGCUGUACUAGAGGGAUACACAAGAGUCAACCACUGACAGAAGAACUAAGAAAAGCAGGUGCUUAAAUACAUCCUAAGACUGGCAUCUUAAUACCUGUUACAUAGUUUUCUCUGUCAUUUUUGUUUUUUAUUGCAGUUUGACCAGGCCAUUUUUUCCUUAAAAAUGCCAAUGGCAGGAACACACUAAAAUUGCUCUGUGGAAAAUAGACACUACAGGUCUGAUCAUUUUUGUACUUAUUAACCACUAAUGCUUCAUAGCACAGCACAUUUUCUAUUACAUUUCUAUACUUUACAUCAACAAAACAGUGCGUUAUACUUUAUACAUUUCGAGGUUCACCAGCAUGUAGUUAAAUGGUGUACAGGUUUGAGAGGCAGCAAAGUCUGCAUAGACCACUCACGGUGAGAGUGAUGGAAUCACACGUUUCAAGAUUUUAAUUGCUAAUGUUUCUCUGUUCCAACCUGUCUCUGCAAACUGUUUUCCAUCAAACAUCUCUAAGAAGGAAUGAGGUGACGCUUGAUUACACAGAGUAUCAGAAAAUGCUUUUUCUAUUUUGAAAGUUCACUAUUGUUAAUUAAAAUCGAAGUGCGUGUUAUAAAACAUCACAUACUGGUGCUUUCUUGCUUUCUCAAACCUGAUGCGUUACAAAAGUAAUAGUUUGGAAGACUUUCUCAUAGUGUCUAGAAGUCAACCUUAGGAUGUGAUCACCUCACUCUACAUAUAUCACUGGAUACCCUAAUUUCAAUCAUAUGAACUUCUUGAGGACCAACUCAGAUGCUACUGGACAGAUUGCAGACUGGAAGUUUAAAGCUGGCUAAGCAGGGAACUACUGAGACAACAGCUCCCAAGGACCAGUCCAAGUUUCUCAACGACACUGUUAGAAACCUCCCAACCAAAAAGGAAUUCCUCCCCUCAGCCCUGACAAAACAUCCACCUCUAAGAUAUAUAGCAGAAAAAUAAAUAAAAAUGAUUAUUCAAGUAUUGCCAUUUAUUGCUAGCAACAGCUCAACUCUUCCAGGACAAAAGGAGUGAAUGUUUCUAUCUUCAAAUAAAAAUGAUCCAUAAUUCUCAUACCA